GUUUUGAAUCCCUAAUUAGUUUUAUUGGCUGUAACAGGCAGUAAUGUCUUAAGAUCAUUCUGGAAAAUAGUUAGCCCCGCCCACUCCCAGGGACUUGGUUGAGACUGUUUGUCGCACAGCAAGAGGGGAGAACGGGAGAAAGAAAAAGACGAUUAGAAGUAAAAAAUCAUAAUCGUUAAUUUAAGCAGUAAACCUAAAGAGUAGCUCCCUAAAUGACCCACGGACCAAAUAUUUUCCAGAUCGCACACUUCAAUCUCUUUCCUUGGGAUCUUGGCUGGGUUUUUUGGAUACCUGAGAAGAAACCUGUGAACCUAGGAUUCUCUCCCUGACGAGGGAGAUGGCGAGCCGACCAGCUUGAUCAACUUGAUUCAUCUUCAUCCAUUGAGGAAGAACCCCCUGAUACCCCUUGUUUCUCCCAACCCCACUCUGGUGUGGUAGGAUUGUGAUUGAGAAAUUACACAAUUUUAUUUGAUACUUUAUUUUUUGUAAAAAGGGUGCACCCAACCAACAAAACUGACUUGAAACUAACUAAAUUGAACUUGACCAAUUGAACUGAACCAGACUGAACAGAAGACAUUCAGAACUGAAUGGACAGUGAAUACAGUUACAACGCUCAGGACAUUGAUAUGAAGACAAAUGAAUGUGUUUGAAUGUGAUAAGCUUUACAUAUUGUCAUUACGUUUUCUUUAAUACAGUUCUAACCAUUUUGCUGGCUCCGGUUGUUCAUUGUGUCCAUCUCUUCAUUCAUAACCUCUCCUUACGAACCUAGCUUUAACCUGAAAAUAUUUACCUACUGCUAAGUGACCCUUUAGGUGGGUUACAAUCAUCAUAUACGUGACUGUCCUGAACUGAUACUUUGCUUUGGGCCUCUUAUUCGCUCUUGGACCCUUAGGUUUGAGAGUAAACACACACACAUUUUAAACAGUGUGCUCGCAAAUUGCACAACUUCAAGAAUUUGUGAUCUGUUGAUUAUUUAGGCCUCCAGCUACGUAGCUCUGUGGCUGUACACAAUGUCACCGUUAAAGACACAAGCUAUAAAAAAGCCACGUGUGUUGUCUUUGAGAAGAAUGAUGAGGGACUAGUCUUUGGCAAGAUAGAACUGAUUCUUGUUUGCAACAGUUGUGUUUACUUUGUCACAGAGAAAUGCCAGUCUGAUUUCUUUUUUGAUCAGGGGAUUUACUGCCUAAAUAUGGGCUCAGAGAACCCCAUUUCAAAUUAUUUCUGCCUCGAACAUGCAAGCCUGCUUGACUAUUACCCUUUGCCUGUGUACAACAUGUUUGGUCUGUCUCUAAUAGCCACUCCUUUCCUUCAGAAUGUCUGGUAUAAGUGAGAGCAUCAAGGACGCAGUCAUUUCUGUCCUGCCAAGUGUGCCAGAAGAAACGAUCUUACACCAGGGAGUGGAAAGCAAAGAUGACUUGCAGUACAUAAGAGAACAGGAAAUUGCAGAGGUUAAUCGACCAAUCCAGUGCAGAAAACAUUUAAAUGCAUGGAAAUGAGCAGACUUGUCUGCACAGAUUCGGUUGCGGCAAUAAAGGUAUGUAGAUUUAGUGAAAGUUUUUAAUUAAAUGCGUUUAUACGACCACUAUGUUUAUCAAUCCUCAUUAUCAAACGAGCGAGCUAGCUAACAUAUUUGGUUCACUUUAGCAAGCUAGCAAGCCUUUAUGAACUGGAAGUGAGCACAUAAGCAGCGUAGGAUCUACAUUUCCAGAGGACAUCGCUGUAUUCUCAAAUAAAUAACCAGCCAAAAUAAAAUGGUGGUUGAAUGUGUCACACAUUUGUUUUUUUUUUGUUUUUUUUAAAUCUGAGAUAAUGAUAUUAGCUACUAUAUGAUGUUUUGUAAAUAGCCAAGGCGUGAUUGAAAGCGAGUGUCAUCUUGUCACGCGUCAUCGUAGCAAGCUAACCAGACAGUAAAAAAGCAGAUAAAACACUUCGAACAUGAAUAAUUUUAAGCCAUGUUAUCUAGCUUUGUCGUGAUAACAUGAGAGAAGGAUUGCUGUUGGAGAACUGAAUCAACCAAUAGUUAGCGCGGGUAACCUGCACGAAAGCUCAUAUAAGAAAAUACAAUAAGAAAAUAUAAUUAAUUUAACUUACUGAGAAAAUAUAAUAAGAAAUAACGAGGCUGUGUCAUAGCUAAUGCGUUAUUGCGAGCGAGUGUGUCAUCUAGUCACGCGUCAGAGCGCAUUGUAGUUAUUUUCACCGCCUAAUUCUUAUGGACAGGGAAGCUCGUUUGAUAGUCUUAGUAGGAAUAAAAUAAGAAAAUAUAAUUAAUGUACUGAGAAUAGAUACUAAGAAAUAAUAAUAACAACAAUAAUAAUAAUAUUAAUCAUAAAAAUACAUGUUUGAAACUGGAAAAGGGAUACUGCUAAGUGACCCUUUAGGUGGGUUACAAUCAUCAUAUACGUGACUAUCCUGAACUGAUACUUUGCUUUGGGCCUCUUAUUCGCUCUUGGACCCUUAGGUUUGAGAGUAAACACACACACAUUUUAAACAGUGUGCUCGCAAAUUACACAACUUCAAGAAUUUGUGAUCUGUUGAUUAUUUAGGCCUCCAGCUACGUAGCUCUGUGGCUGUACACAAUGUCACCGUUAAAGGCACAAGCUACAAAAAAGCCACGUGUGUUGUCUUUGAGAAGAAUGAUGAGGGACUAGUCUUUGGCAAGAUAGAACUGAUUCUUGUUUGCAACAGUUGUGUUUACUUUGUCACAGAGAAAUGCCAGUCUGAUUUCCUUUUUGAUCAGGGGAUUUACUGCCUAAAGAUGGGCUCAGAGAACCCCAUUUCAAAUGAUUUCUGCCUCGAACAUGCAAGCCUGCUUGACUAUUACCCUUUGCCUGUGUACAACAUGUUUGGUCUGUCUCUAAUAGCCACUCCUUUCCUUCAGAAUGUCUGGUAUAAGUGAGAGCAUCAAGGACGCAGUCAUUUCUGUCCUGCCAAGUGUGCCAGAAGAAACGAUCUUACACCAGGGAGUGGAAAGCAAAGAUGACUUGCAGUACAUAAGAGAACAGGAAAUUGCAGAGGUUAAUCGACCAAUCCAGUGCAGAAAACAUUUAAAUGCAUGGAAAUGAGCAGAUGCUAUAAGUUGUGCUACCCCCCUACUCCAGUCCCCAGAAGGCAGUUCAUCACUGUCAAGCUCCUUGAGAUCCAGUAGCCCUUCACCAUCACAUUCCAUACGGCCACCAGUAAAGCAAAAAUGGCCAGAAACGUUCCAGGUACCCCAGGUAAUUGCAUCACAAUUUGCUCGUUUUUGAUUUCCAACAGAAUACGUUGAUCUGUAUUUCACAUAAAUUUUCUUGUUCUUUUCCAAGGCAACCCUG